rnacentral:rRNA from 1 species
UACGGGGGGGGCAAGCGUUGUUCGGAAUUACUGGGCGUAAAGGGCUCGUAGGUGGCCAACUAAGUCGGACGUGAAAUCCCUCAGCUUAACUGGGGAACUGCGUCCGAUACUGGAUGGCUCGAGUUUGGGAGAGGGAUGCGGAAGUCCAGGUGUAGCGGUGAAAUGCGUAGAUAUCUGGAGGAACACCGGUGGCGAAGGCGGCAUCCUGGACCAACACUGACACUGAGGAGCGAAAGCCAGGGGAGCAAACGGG